GUCCCCUAAGUGUCCUUUGUCCUUCCGGCCACGGGACGAGCCCUUGGUGCCGGGGCAGCCCCACUCUGCACCAGCAGCCAUUUAGUCCCCCGCGCCUGCCUUGCGCAAACGGGGCUCCCACGCCCACCCCACUUCCUCCCUUUUAUAGUUUCAUUACUAAGUGGCUUUAACAUAGAACCGCGCAGUUCGCCUAAAGGAGACUGGGGACAAAAUGGAGGGAGCAGCUCGCUAAUGAACAUGCGUCAGCACGUUGGUGUCCGCGGAGAGGGCGCGCGUGUGGCGAAGUCUUCCGGCGUCCCCGAAGGAAAAAUGCCUCUGCAACGUGCAUUUUUGAUGUGAAGUCGUGUUCCACGUUUCACUCCUCCCUAAGACUGCGACAUAACGUGAAACAAAAUACUGCAUAUUGUCGAGCUCAAUGGAGAACGCGUGCAUGCAGGGUCGAGCCCAUUUUUCAGCCAUCAAAAUAAUACAAUGCAAUUUUUUCUAGUAUUUAUAAUUUUUCCCCUUUAACUUUAUGCCUCCUUUAUGUACUUCUACAUUUCACGUUUAGGUUAUAUGUAACCUAAGGGCACUCCUUAGGAAACUGGACUUGUAGAAUAUGUCAUUGUGCAAAGUCAUGCUGCUUCGAAUUAUGCUGCGCGCUGGCACACAGCAAGCGCUCAGUGUUAACGAUGUCGAAUUCAUAUUAAGUACUGUUCAUUGGGCGUUUUCUUACUCCGUAAGGACCUUACUUGCAUGCCCAUUUGAUACCUUUCUACAAUCCCAGUAAAAUACACAGUUAAGGUUGUGUAUUUAUGUGUCACAUUUUUUUUUUUGAGGUUUUUUUUUGCGGGGGCGGGGGGGGUUUUUUUGUUUUUGUUUUUGAAAUUGUAGUUAGAAACUACAUACUGUGCCGGGCGCGGAGGCUCACGCCUGUAAUCCCAACACUUUGGGGGCUGAGGCGGGCGGAUCACGAGGUCAGGAGUUCGGGACCAGCCUGGUCAACUUGGUGAAACCUCGCCUCUACUAAAAAUACAAAAAUUAGCCUGGCGUGGUGGGGGGCGCCUGUAAUCCCAGCUACUCGGCAGCCUGAGGAAGGAGAAUAGCUUGAAAACGGAAGGCGGAGGUUGCAGGGAGCCGAGAUCGUGCCACUGUACUCCAGCCUGGGAGAAAGAGCGAAACUCCGUCUGGGCGGGGGGAGAAACUACAUACUGCUCUACUGUUUGCUAGGGAAAAGAAAAAAAGUCACCCUACUGGUGAUAUCCUGCCAAUUCUGGAUUCUCUGCUGAAAUUAUAAUGCUAACUAUGCUUUGAACUCCGGAUCUGAAAGGCCGUGUUGAAGGUAGUAAUAUUCCAUGAAGGAGGGGGAAAUCCUUUUGAAGUCAUUGUUGAUUAUGUUGUAAAAGGAAAACUGGAAAAGUACCAGCUAAAACACCACCGAGUCAUCCUAUUUUAUUUUUAUUAUGACUUUGAAAAUUUGCUAGAGUAGACAUUGUUGGGGUCUAUUUCAUUUGUCUUUGAAAAGUAUUUUCAUAAGGAUGAUUUAUUUUUUAUUUUUUAUUUUUUUUGAGACAGAGUCUCACUUUGUCGCUCAGGCUGGAGUGCAGUGGCGCAAUCUCAGCUCACUGCAACCUCUGCCUCCCGGGUUCAAGUGAUUCUCCUGCCUCAGCUUCCUGAGUAGCAGCUGGGAUUACAGGCGCCUGCCACCACACCCGGCUAAUUUUUGUAUUUUUAGUAGAGAAAGGGUUUCACUAUGUUGGCCAGGCUGGCCUCAAACUCCUGACCUCAGGUGAUACGCCUGCCUCUGGUUUCCAGAGUGCUGGGAUUACAGGCGUGAGCCACUGCGCCUGGCCUAUUUUAAAAUUUUUAUUUUCACAAAAUUGCAUAUAAUAUUUCCAUUUUUAAUUGUUUAACAGUUAUAGAAAGGAAAGUAAAAAUCUCAGUUCUUUCUCUCCUUUUUAAGGUAAAUAUAACUAACAGUUUGAUGUCUCUCUUUUCAAACUCUUCUUUAUCCUUCUUAAAAACAAUUAUUUGUAGAGACGGGAGGUGGGGGAUGGUGUGUCACUUUGUUGCCCAGGCUGGUCUCAAACUCCUGGACUAAAGUGAUCCUCCUGUCUCACCCUCCCAAAGUGCUGGGAUUACAGACAUGAGCUAUGGCACCCGGCUUUUUCUUAAUUAAAUAUUAUUACACGAGGCCGGGCACGGUGGCUCAUGCCGGUAAUCCUAGCACUUUGGGAGGCCGAGGUGGGUGGAUCAGCUGAGGUCAGGAGUUCAAGACCAGCCUGGCCAGCAUGGCAAAACCCUGUCUCUACUAAAAAUACAAAAAUUAGCUGGGCAUGGUGGCACACACCUGUAAUCCCAUCUUGGGAGGCUGAGGCAGGAGAAUCGCUUGAACCCAAGAGGUGGAGGUUGUGGUGAGCCGAGAUCGUGCCAUUGCACUCCAGCCUGGGCAGCAAGAGCGAAACUUCGUCUCAAAAACAAAAAAAAAUUAUCCCACGAAUACCUAUAUUUUGUCUUAAUUAAAACAACACUGGAAUAUAUGGGGUAAAUAAUGAAAGGCUCUAUGUCACACUUGCCUCCACGCUUAUGUAUACAUGUAUCUGUAUGUGAUACACGCUGAAAUGACACUGUACCACAUCAUUUGCAUUCAGUAAUUUACUUUUUGCCAUAUAUCUGGGAACUUGUUUGAUUUAUGUACUACAGAUUUACUCAUUCAUUUUAAUGACUGCUUAGUAAUCCUUUCUUUUCUUUCUGAUUGACAUUUCUUUUUUUUUUUUUUUUUUU
rnacentral:lncRNA from 10 species